GUAUAAUUUUGUCGACAUUAAUUUGCAUCGCCGAAAGUAACAUCUUUUCUGUCAACUACAAGCCUACACUGAACCUGAACAUCCAUAAAAAAUUUGCUCCCAUUCACAUCAACAAAGAAACCAAACAUCAAAUUAUACUCCAAACAAGUUGCAUAUUAUAAUAAACAAAGAAUUUGCUCCUAUUGCAAAAUAAUUACAUUCAUUUUUAUUUCCAAGUCAAUACUCAAAGGCCUGUUUAAAUAUUCCAGUUUGUCAUAUUCAGUGUUUUCCAUUUCAGAGAAUGACACAUUAUAAGAUUUACAGGAAACAAAACUAAGUUGAAAAAAAGAAAACAUGAAGUGAAAGAACGGCACGAUCAGUGAACCUCUUCACAUAUGAAGCAAGGAGGGUGCUCUUAAGUGCAUCAGCUAUAGGCAUGGAUUCUCUGGCUUUGCGGCAACUCUCACAGAAUCUCAAGCAAAAAGAGUUGCAGCCUGCAGGUGACUCCAACACAAUUGCAGAAGGAGGUGUUAGUAGUCCAGUUU